UCUGGUUGAUCCUGCCAGUAGUGAUAUGCUUGUUUCAAAGAUUAAGCCAUGCAUGUCUAAGUAUAAGCGAACUUAUACAGUGAAACUGCGGAUGGCUCAUUAAAACAGUUUGAAUUUAUUUGAUGAAUGUAUGAGAAUACUACUUGGAUAACCGUAGUAAUUCUAGAGCUAAUACAUGCAACGACGCCCGACCGUUUCACUACGGAAGGGCUGUAUUUAUUGGAUACCAAAACCAUCCUUCCCUCGGGAAGUUUUGUUUGAUGAUUCACAAUAACUGAUCGGAUCGCCACUGUGGUGGCGACAGGUCAUUCAACAUUCUGCCCUAUCAGCUUUCGAUGGUUGUGUAGUGGACAACCAUGGCCAUAACGGGUAACGGAGAAUCAGGGUUCGAUUCCGGAGAAGGAGCUUGAGAAUUGGCUACUACAUCUAAGGAAGGCAGCAGGCGCGCAAAUUACCCAAUCCCGAUUCGGGGAGGUAGUGACAAAGAAUAACAAUACCGGGCCUUUUUGGGCUUGGUAAUUGGAAUGAGGGAGAGUUAAACGGACCAUCGAGUAUCCAUUGGAGGGCAAGUCUGGUGCCAGCAGCUGCGGUAAUACCAGCUCCAAUAGCGUAUAUUAAAGUUGUUGCAGUUAAAAAGCUCGUAGUUGGACUUGUGUGCGCUGUCCGCGGGUGGCCUGCGCCCAAAAGGGCGUUUCGGUUCGGCCCCGGUGGCGCCUUGAAAUCUGCAGCUGGGGGGACGUUGGCCUUAACUGGUCGGCGACCGCACGCCGGCUGCUCGGUUACUGUGAGAAAAUUAGAGUGUUCAAGGCAGGCAUUGGGUGCAAUUGAAUACAUUAGCAUGGAAUAAUAAAAUAUGGCUCCUGCCGUAUUUUGUUGGUUUUGACUGGUGGGAGUAAUGAUUGAUAGGGACGGUUGGGGGUGCUAGUAUUGAGCGGCCAGAGGUGAAAUUCAUGGAUUCGCUCAAGACUAACUUAUGCGAAAGCAUUCACCAAGGACGUCCUCUUUAAUCAAGAACGAAAGUUGGGGGAUCGAAGACGAUCAGAUACCGUCGUAGUCUCAACCAUAAACUAUGUCGACUUGGGAUCGGCGGUAGUUUUUUCAUUAAGACACUGUCGGGACCACGGGAGAAAUCAAAGUGUCUGGACUCUGGGGGAAGUAUGGUCGCAAGGCUGAAACUUGAAGGAAUUGACGGAAGGGCACCACCAGGAGUGGAGCCUGC
rnacentral:rRNA from 1 species